rnacentral:rRNA from 1 species
AUGGCGACCGGCGCACGGGUGAGUAACGCGUAUCCAACCUGCCCUUUACUCGGGGAUAGCCUUCUGAAAGGAAGUUUAAUACCCGAUGAAUUCGUUUAGUCGCAUGGCUUGAUGAAGAAAGAUUUAUCAGUAAAGGAUGGGGAUGCGUCCCAUUAGCUUGUUGGCGGGGUAACGGCCCACCAAGGCGACGAUGGGUAGGGGUUCUGAGAGGAAGGUCCCCCACAUUGGAACUGAGACACGGUCCAAACUCCUACGGGAGGCAGCAGUGAGGAAUAUUGGUCAAUGGGCGCGAGCCUGAACCAGCCAAGUAGCGUGGAGGACGACGGCCCUACGGGUUGUAAACUCCUUUUAUAAGGGGAUAAAGUUGGCCAUGUAUGGCCAUUUGCAGGUACCUUAUGAAUAAGCAUCGGCUAAUUCCGUGCCAGCAGCCGCGGUAAUACGGAAGAUGCGAGCGUUAUCCGGAUUUAUUGGGUUUAAAGGGAGCGUAGGCGGGCAGUCAAGUCAGCGGUCAAAUGGCGCGGCUCAACCGCGUUCCGCCGUUGAAACUGGCAGCCUUGAGUAUGCACAGGGUACAUGGAAUUCGUGGUGUAGCGGUGAAAUGCUUAGAUAUCACGAGGAACUCCGAUCGCGCAGGCAUUGUACCGGGGCAUUACUGACGCUGAGGCUCGAAGGUGCGGGUAUCAAACAGGAUUAGAUACCCUGGUAGUCCGCACAGUAAACGAUGAAUGCCCGCUGUCGGCGACAUAGUGUCGGCGGCCAAGCGAAAGCGUUAAGCAUUCCACCUGGGGAGUACGCCGGCAACGGUGAAACUCAAAGGAAUUGACGGGGGCCCGCACAAGCGGAGGAACAUGUGGUUUAAUUCGAUGAUACGCGAGGAACCUUACCCGGGCUUGAAUCGCAGGUGCAUGGGCCGGAGACGGCCCUUUCCUUCGGGACUCCUGCGAAGGUGCUGCAUGGUUGUCGUCAGCUCGUGCCGUGAGGUGUCGGCUUAAGUGCCAUAACGAGCGCAACCCCCCUCCCCAGUUGCCACCGGGUAAUGCCGGGCACUUUGGGGAGACUGCCAUCGCAAGAUGCGAGGAAGGUGGGGAUGACGUCAAAUCAGCACGGCCCUUAC